UACGUAGGGGGCAAGCGUUGUCCGGAUUUAUUGGGUUUAAAGGGUGCGUAGGCGGCUUUGUAAGUCAGUGGUGAAAUAUGGCAGCUCAACUGUCAAGGUGCCAUUGAUACUGCGGAGCUUGAGUACAGAUGAGGUAGGCGGAAUUGACGGUGUAGCGGUGAAAUGCUUAGAUAUCGUCAAGAACACCUAUAGCGAAGGCAGCUUACUAGGCUGUAACUGACGCUGAGGCACGAAAGUGUGGGGAUCAAACAGG
rnacentral:rRNA from 1 species